UUGUCGUUCUCUGAGGAAUAUAUAUAGUCCUUCCACGCUCGAACAGUGAUCGAAAAUAAGAGAGAGAUGGGAAUAGCAAGCAAGGCAGGGGAUUGGGCAUUCAAAGCUUUCACGGCGAGCCUUGGCGUGGCAACCGUAUAUCUCACCGCCACUUUCUCCGUCAAUGUCUACAAAGGCCUCGCUUGGCACAAAGCUCAAUCGAAACUCGAGAAUCAGGAUUCUAUCGAGGAACCACAAUGAUUUUGAAUCAACAACCAGAGUUCGAACUUCGAACUUACAACAUUUAUGGUUUUUUUUUUCUUGUACGAGUAUGAAUUAGAUUUUAGGUGUAAAAACCUCUGUUAAUCUACUCGGUUCAAUUUUAUGAUGAUUUGAGGUCCUUGGUUUGGAUCUAAUAGACUUUGAGUAUAGUUCUUGGGAUCAUUUUUUAAUUUCACUAGAUAUUCUUUUGUCCAGGGAAAUAAGUUUGUUUCUUUUUAAGCCAAAAAGAAUAUUCUUUUGGUUGUUGUUGGAAUUGGAGAAUGCAGUGCUCCGUAUUAAUGCAUAUAAUCAAUGUUUUUGUACUUA